GAUGAACGCUGGCGGCGUGCCUAAUACAUGCAAGUCGAGCGAACAGACGAGGAGCUUGCUCCUCUGACGUUAGCGGCGGACGGGUGAGUAACACGUGGAUAACCUACCUAUAAGACUGGGAUAACUUCGGGAAACCGGAGCUAAUACCGGAUAAUAUAUUGAACCGCAUGGUUCAAUAGUGAAAGACGGUUUUGCUGUCACUUAUAGAUGGAUCCGCGCCGCAUUAGCUAGUUGGUAAGGUAACGGCUUACCAAGGCGACGAUGCGUAGCCGACCUGAGAGGGGGGUGGCCCACACGGGAAGUGAGACGGGGCCAAGCCCCCAGGGGGAGGGCGAAGAAGGAAACCUCCCGAAGGGGGGGAAAACCUGAGGGAACAGCCGGGCGUGGGAGAUAAGGGUCUUGGGAUCGAAAACCUUUUUUUUGGGGGAAAAAAAAAUGUUGAAUAAACUAUGCACGUCUUGAGGGUACCAAAUAAAAAAGCCACGGCUAACUACGUG
rnacentral:rRNA from 1 species